rnacentral:lncRNA from 1 species
AUGCGCGGCCCCAACUCACCAGCAGCGCCGGGGCUCCGCGGGGCCGGGGCCGGUUCCUCUGCCCCCUUUCUCCUUCCCCUGCUCCGCCCGGGAGCGGUGUCCGGACUCCGCCGCCGGCCGCGCCGCCUCCCCGAGGCCAGUCACUGGAUUCCCCGCUCCAACAUGGCUGCUGCUGCUGCCCCCGCCGCCGUCGCCUCGCCGCGGCUCCCCGCCGCCGAGCGGCCGCGGGCCGUGCUCGGGAGCCGGUCACCGAGCGGUGCCGGGAGCGGAGCGGAGCGGGCGGCCUCGGCCGAGCCGGGCAGGGCAGGGCAGGGCCGGGAGCUGCGCGGCGCCGAGCCGAGCCGGGCUGCGCCUCUCCGCUGCGGGCUGCCGCCGCCUCCGCCCGCCCGCGCUGAGCCAGCCCCGCCGGCAGCCCGAGCGCAGGAGGGGCCGGGGGGAGGCCCGGCCGCCGGCGACACCUAGCGGCUCGGGAAACGGCCCCGGGCGGCCCAGGGGGUCCGGCUUGCCCGGCCGCCCGCCACCCUCCGGAGGCAGCGGGGCUGCGGCGCCCCCCCCGAGCGGGUUUGGUCGCCUCGGGUGUGGCGGCUCCUGGCCGCGUUUCGGCUUGGGUCUGCGGGGCGACUCUGAGGUAGCAGCUCCCCCCCGGCCGCCAAGUCAAUAACUGGAGUUAAGGGAAGCCGUGGAGCUUUUGCGGAUUGAUUUCGCACUCGGGAGCUACAAAAACAUCCUUUCCGUGUUCAUCCCAUGGUGUUUUCUUCCCUUUGUCUCCUACAUCCGUGGUCCCCAUACCACCACGAACCUCUGUGCUCACUCUUCCAGACAACCGCGCUUCCCUCCUGCUCGUCCAUUUACAACCAUUUUCCCUUCAAAAUGAUACAGCUUGCAUUCCCUCACUUCUCAGCCCUCGCUGUCCCUACAUUUCUUAAGCUUUCUGUGCUACCCAACAUGACCUUAGAGAUAAAAACUAGCCCUACGAGCCAUUUAUUCCACGCUAUCCAUUGUUGCCAUGUUUCCACCACAGGAAGAUCAAAACAUAACAGCAAGUCUGAAUCCACUGUGAUUUUAGUGAUGCAUGUUUGAACUUCAAGUACCAGGUCAUAGGUACACAUAGGGCACAAUUUCUCUGACUGCGGUUUUUUGUUUCUUUUUUCCUUUUGGUCAUACUCUGAUUCUUGCUGCCUGCUUGGUUAUUCUCAUAUUUUGUUGGCCAAAGUUCACUGACACAACCACGGGGCCUUCUGUCCAAACAGACCGCCAGUCCUCUCACAGACCCCAGCUACUGACUGAAUACACAAGGCCAAAUCGUGGUCUCCUUGAGGAGACCUGACAGGACUUUUAUGUUCCUGUACACACCGAGGGAGGCUUACAGCUCUUUUGCUUUGCAGGCAGGUCUGUGUUGAGGUGGAGCCCGGAGUGUAUCUUAAUUUGCAGCAGCAAGCUGCUGAUCUCGAGGAGCUGCAUGUGCAGCUUAUUCUAGCCAGUCCUUCCCCACAGCAGGGCCAAGUGGGAGCUGUGCUUGCCGGAGCGGCGCCAGCUAGAAAUUCCUCCGCUUCCAGCUCAGUUGCAACCUUCCAGCAGAGCAAACGAACCAGAACACUGACGAAGAUGUUUCCCAGUAAACAGAAGUAACUCACUCUGGCCUAAAAAGGAAUUCAAGCAUCAAUCCACUCCUUACGUGCAUACGAACUCACUUUGCUCAUGUUGACGUACACUUUUGGUGGAAUCAGCUGAGGAUAAAAACCAGUAAAUAUGACUCAGAAACACACUUCAAGUUUACAGAGACAAAAUAUGAUUACUGAGCUCUUCCUGCUCAAGACGUAGGAUAGCAGCCUUACCUUUGCAAAACUUGUGGGAUUUUUAAUAGCACAGAGAAGGCAGACAUUCAAGCUUUGAACUUCCUGGCAAUGCAAAGAUAUCCCUUACAGAUCUCCUUUAAAGCUCAGGACCUACCAGUUCUUGCUGGACCUACCAGUUCUUCUCAUCUUUGAAUGCUAACGAGAUGAUCUGUGUUUGUUUUAUCUUAUUCAAUUUGAAGGCUAUUUGGG